UACGGGGGGGGCAAGCGUUGUUCGGAAUUACUGGGCGUAAAGGGCUCGUAGGCGGCCAACUAAGUCAGACGUGAAAUCCCUCGGCUUAACCGGGGAACUGCAUCUGAUACUGGAUGGCUUGAGUUCGGGAGAGGGAUGCGGAAUUCCAGGUGUAGCGGUGAAAUGCGUAGAUAUCGGGAGGAACACCAGUGGCGAAGGCGACUUCCUGGCCUGUUCUUGACGCUGAGGCGCGAAAGUGUGGGGAGCGAACAGG
rnacentral:rRNA from 1 species